rnacentral:lncRNA from 1 species
UUAAAUGUAGGUGAGUCUCAAGUGUUGUCCAAAUCAGAACCAAGAACAAACAUUACAUCAAUUUUGUUAAUGCUACUUGUGUUUUUCAAGAUCUCACAAUUUUAUUUUAAAUAUGUUGAGAAACUUCUAUUUCCGUGAUUUUAGUGUAUUCAUUUUUUAUUUUAUUUUAUUUCCAUACAAAAAAUUGUUAAAAAAAUAAUAUAGGCAAUUCAGAUAUUUAGAUUUUUAUUUGGGUUGAAAAAUAGACUUUAUUUUUAAGUUGGGCUAAUGAAAAUUUGUAUAAAUACUAAGCAUAGACUCAGCCCGAAUUUGGCCGACUCGGCCACAAAUAGGUUUACUCAGUCGCUUACUACUAUUAUUGAGGUAACGUGCACCAUUAAAAUCUUUAUAUUUUUCACGUAUCUUUUUUUUCUCUUAUCCCUUCUUUUCUUUUUCAUGUUUUUUUCCUUUCUCAACAAACCCCUGCUUUCACCAAUUUCACUACCAUCAAUGGCUUUCCCUGAACACCAAACUCGUCGGUGGAUCUCCCAAGGCUGUCCCUUGAUUCCAAUAAGCCUAGCCCCAACCUUUUUGCUCCCAGAAACAUAAACCUAAAUCCAUUGAAGAUGAGAUAGCUAAACGAGCAGAGCAAGUCCAAGGUGUGAAAUCAAUGGUGGGGAUCAAAUAGGACGGAGUCGGAUCCGGAGGGAUGUAUCAGCAAGCAGGUGGUAUUGGUAGAUAGUUCAAGAAUGAACUCGUCAAGGAAAAUCAUGCUUUAAAAUGGCAGCUCAUCACCAUCGGCGAUGAAAAGCACCUCUGAAACAACCACCACCAUGACAACUACGACAGUUGCAAUUAUUGUUGCGGUAAUGACAACAUCUCCUCAUCCUCCUUCAUCGUUUCAGCGUAUGGAUACGUUACUUAAGACACAAUGUGAGUUUAAUAAGCCUAUAUGUAUUCAAAGCGUGAAUGUUGCCUAUUCUAGGUGAAAGGAAAAUUUCUUUUAUUUGUUUAAAUUUUAUUUUCAUAUGUAAUUAUGAGAAUUUUUUUUUUGUAUCAAUUUCCUCUCGCAAGGACAAAUGGUUUUAGUCUGGCUAUCAAUUGUUGUUAUCUGGUUUUUGUUUGGUCAAAAGUUGCAUGACCAUUGUAAUAUUUACAAACUCUACAAUUACGUUUAGAUAUUUGAUAAGUUAAAUCCAUUUAAGUUCUAAAAACUUUAUUGAUGGUGUUUGAAAACAAAUCUUUUAAUGGUUUGCUAGGAAGGGAAAGAACAUUGAAAAAGAAAAGAUAGGGAAAAAGGAAAUACAGAAAUAAAAAAGAAAAAAGAAAAAAAUAUUUUAAUAUUAAAAAAAGGGAAGAUAAUUUUUUUAAACACGUGGCACAUUUAAUAUGUUCCGUCAGACGCACGUUAUCAAAUAAAGACGGUAAAAGGUUGAGUGGUUGAAUUUGUUUUUUUAAUUCUUUUUUUAAUUUUUAUGAAUUUUUUUUUGUAUGGGAAGAAAAUAUAACUUUAUUUUUUUUAUUUCAUUGUUUAGAAUCAAACGAUGCGAUUUGCGUUAUGUUAAGGGUAAGUAGAAACGUUACGUUUUAGGAGUCUUAGUAACUUAAGUUAAACGGUACUUUUUGGGCAGGGAACCACAGUUGUCAAUAACGGUUUCGUGGCAACCAACCUUUUUUGUCCGUUGUUCAAUCCCUAUUACUAUGGGAAAUGGUGUAAAGAGAUAAUUAUGAAUGAAAUUUGCUAAAAUUCUUCUCUCUCUCUCUCUUCAUGCUACUUUCUCGUUCAAUUUCUUUGACACACAUCAAAGGCA